GACAGAGGAUGCAAGCGUUAUCCGGAUUUAUUGGGCGUAAAGAGCUCGUAGGCGGCUUGUCGCGUCGACUGUGAAAUCCCGCGGCUCAACUGCGGGUCUGCAGUCGAUACGGGCAGGCUAGAGUUCGGUAGGGGAGACUGGAAUUCCUGGUGUAGCGGUGAAAUGCGCAGAUAUCAGGAGGAACACCGAUGGCGAAGGCAGGUCUCUGGGCCGAUACUGACGCUGAGGAGCGAAAGCGUGGGGAGCGAACAGG
rnacentral:rRNA from 1 species